UGGCGGACGGGUGAGUAAUGUCUGGGAAACUGCCUGAUGGAGGGGGGUAACUACUGGAAACGGUAGCUAAUACCGCAUAACGUCGCAAGACCAAAGAGGGGGACCUUCGGGCCUCUUGCCAUCGGAUGUGCCCAGAUGGGAUUAGCUAGUAGGUGGGGUAACGGCUCACCUAGGCGACGAUCCCUAGCUGGUCUGAGAGGAUGACCAGUCACACUGGAACUGAGACACGGUCCAG
rnacentral:rRNA from 1 species